rnacentral:tRNA from 1 species
GGCAGGAUAGCUCAGCGGUAGAGCAGCGGACUCAUAAGCCGUUGGUCGCGGGUUCAAAUCCCGCUCCUGCUACCA